UGGCCCACCCGCUGUCCGGGGAGCCUCAGCCCGACCUGCUGAGGUUACGCUUUUCUACGCUCCGGCUGAACACAGCAGAUGUGCUCUGCGAGGCGGCCUUCGCCUCUGCCUUCCUCCCCUUUCCAGCCUAUCUCCCCCGCUUCAAAUCAGUUCAGGAGAGGGUUGGAAGCUAGGGCGACUCGAGUUCCUCAGAUAAUCAGAAUCUGACAUUUGUCAACGGGAUUACCCUUCCAGAGAAGACAUCAACAGAAGAGGCCCUGGCGUGUGGGAGGCAGAAAUAAAUGUUUCUUCAAGUGAAUGAAGGAA